AGACUUACCUGGCAGGGGACAGACCAUGAUCACGAAGGUGGUUUUCCCAGGGUGAGACUCAUCCACUGCACUCCGGAUGUGCUGACCUCUGUGCGUUCCCCAAAUGUAGAAAUUCAAGUGCACAAUUUGUGGUAGUGGGGCACUGCGUCCAUGCUCUCCCCUG
ensembl:snRNA U1 U1 spliceosomal RNA